CACGUAGGGUGCGAGCGUUGUCCGGAAUUAUUGGGCGUAAAGAGCUCGUAGGCGGUGUGUCGCGUCGGCCGUGAAAACCUGCAGCUUAACUGUGGGCUUGCGGUCGAUACGGGCAUCACUGGAGUUCGGCAGGGGAGACUGGAAUUCCUGGUGUAGCGGUGAAAUGCGCAGAUAUCAGGAAAGAACACCCCGUGGCGAAGGCGGCUCUCUGGGACGGUACUGACGCUGAGACGCGAAAAGCGUGGGGGAGCAAACAGG
rnacentral:rRNA from 1 species